rnacentral:ncRNA from 2 species
UUUCUUCUUUCUCCUCUGUGUCCUCGAAUGACCACAAUCAGGUUUUCUUCUUGAUCCUUCAGUGAGCCAAGGAGCAGCAUAUAGUCCAGAGGGUCAGCCCAUGGGGAGCUUUGUGUUGGAUGGUCAGCAACACAUGGGGAUCCGGCCUGCAGGACCUAUGAGUGGAAUGGGCAUGAAUAUGGGCAUGGAUGGGCAAUGGCACUACAUGUAACCUUCAUCAUGUAAAGCAAUCGCAAAGCAAGGGGGAAGUAAGUACAGUCGGGUGCGAUCUGUCUUCACUAUCACUUCAGAGACUUUAUUUUAUUUUUUAUAAUUUGCCCCCAUUUUAUUUUUCCUUGCCCAUAACUGCAUGCCUUUCCAAACUAAGGACCUGUUUUUAAAUAUAUAUCACCCAUCUCUGAAGUCACAGAUGACACUGAUGUGCACUUUUGAAAAGGCCAACUGACAAGCCUGCGUGUGUUUUAAGCAGGUGGGACUGCCUUUUAGCCUAUUUACUGUGGCCCCAAUGUGCACAAACACAGACAUCAGGCAGAUAUUGGACAUUUAA